rnacentral:rRNA from 1 species
AGAGUUUGAUCCUGGCUCAGAUUGAACGCUGGCGGAAUGCUUUACACAUGCAAGUCGAGCGGCAGCGCGGGGCAACCUGGCGGCGAGCGGCGAACGGGUGAGUAACACAUCGGAACGUACCCUAUUGUGGGGGAUAACGAAUCGAAAGAUUCGCUAAUACCGCAUAAGACCUGAGGGUGAAAGCGGGGGAUCGCAAGACCUCGCGCGAUAGGAGCGGCCGAUGUCGGAUUAGCUAGUUGGUGGGGUAAAGGCUCACCAAGGCGACGAUCCGUAGCGGGUCUGAGAGGACGGCCCGCCACACUGGAACUGAGACACGGUCCAGACUCCUACGGGAGGCAGCAGUGGGGAAUUUUGGACAAUGGGCGCAAGCCUGAUCCAGCCAUUCCGCGUGAGUGAAGAAGGCCUUCGGGUUGUAAAGCUCUUUCGGCAGGAACGAAAAGGCGGGCUCUAACAUAGCCUGUUGAUGACGGUACCUGAAGAAGAAGCACCGGCUAACUACGUGCCAGCAGCCGCGGUAAUACGUAGGGUGCGAGCGUUAAUCGGAAUUACUGGGCGUAAAGCGUGCGCAGGCGGUUUUGUAAGACAGAUGUGAAAUCCCCGGGCUCAACCUGGGAACUGCGUUUGUGACUGCAAGACUCGAGUGCGGCAGAGGGGGGUGGAAUUCCACGUGUAGCAGUGAAAUGCGUAGAGAUGUGGAGGAACACCGAUGGCGAAGGCAGCCCCCUGGGUCGACACUGACGCUCAUGCACGAAAGCGUGGGUAGCAAACAGGAUUAGAUACCCUGGUAGUCC